AAAUAGAUAAUGGAUGAAACCAUCGUCUGAUGAAUAUUGUCCAUAAGAUUAUCACAAGCAACUGAGUUGAAUUAAAAUGAUGUUUAUACAUGAGGAGAUUUUCAUUUCAGAAUGUAGUCUGUACAAUAAGAAGAAUCUGUGGAUUAAAUGCUGAGAUUCAGAGACAAGAAAGCACAACACAAAGUGUUGCAAGUUCAUGGGCCUUUGCCUCUGAGUUAGUUGCUGUGUAUAAAAACAGAAAUCACACUGAUUCUGCCCAGAAUUGCUGUAUUCUCUCUGCUUGCUUCAUUUGGAGGCACUGCAAUUAUGUCUAAGAGGAUCUAUUUCCGCACCAUAUAAUUUAAUUACCUUUUCCCAUAGGCCAACGUAUGAGAUGCGACAUCCAGUUGCUAAAAUGGUGACCUUUAGCUUCCAUGGACCAGUGAGGGAUACACGUGACUAGCAUGUGAUUAAUUUGGUCUUCUGGUCUGAGCACUGGUUUCUCUGGAUCCUGGUAGGAAGCACAAGAAGAAAGCGUGUCCAUUGUUCUUCAUGACAAAUACUGAAGAUCUUUCCUAGGAUUGUUGGAAUUACAUUAAACACAAGAUUUAAAAGAAAAAGAGAAAUGGCUGCUUUAAAUGACACCAUGGCUGCAGUUAACAGAAUUGGGUAGGCAUGGACUUCAAUGGAAAGCUGUACCUCUGAAGGAAAUAUCCUUCUUUCUUCAGGCCAUUGCCAUGACAUUUCAGAUCAACUUCAUUUACUUAUCACAAAAGGAUCUCAGUGGGAUUUUCUGUUUCCCUCUUACUGCCUCCACUAAAGGAGAACGUCUGUGCAAUUCUGUGAGUUUGUCUCCCAACCCUCAAGACUGUUAUGAGUCAACUAAGAGAAUUAAACACGGUUUAUCACAAGAAUCUUCUUCGCUCCCCCUCCCCCCACUACUUAUUUUACUGUGA
rnacentral:lncRNA from 1 species